rnacentral:rRNA from 1 species
GGAUGGUUGGGGGUGCUAGGAUUCAGCGUGGAGAGGUGAAAUUCUCGGAUCCGCUGAAGACUGACUUAUGCGAAAGCAUUCACCCAGGACGUCCUCUUUAAUCAAGAACGAAAGUUGGGGGAUCGAAGACGAUCAGAUACCGUCGUAGUCUCAACCGUAAACCAUGCCGACUAGGGAUGUGUGGGUGUCCGGUAUGGACCCCAUGCGAACCUUCUGAGAAAUCAAAGUCCACGGGUUCCGGGGGGAGUAUGGUCGCAAGGCUGAAACUUAAAGGAAUUGACGGAAGGGCACCACCAGGAGUGGAGCCUGCGGCUUAAUUUGACUCAACACGGGGAAACUUACCAGGUCCAGACUCUAUGAGGAUUGACAGAUGGAAGAUCUUUCUUGAUCUGGAGGGUGGUGGUGCAUGGCCGUUCUUAGUUGGUGGAGUGAUUUGUCUGGUUAAUUCCGUUAACGAACGAGACCUCGUGGCGAUGGUUGUGAGUCCAUAUCUUCGGAUAUGUGUGACUCAGUCCCAUCCCGACACUCGGUGGGGAGCCGAGGGAAGAUCGAGGCAAUAACAGGUCUGUGAUGCCCUUCGAUGUUCUGGGCCGCACGCGCGCUACACUGCUUCGUGCACCGGGCACGCCCCUAGGUCGAGCGACCUGGGCCAUCGGGAAGACGAAGCGUGCUGGGGAUUGAGGAUUGAUAUUCUUCCUCAUGAACGAGGAAUUCCUAGUACACGCAAGUCAGCAACUUGCAUGGAUUACGUCCCUGCCCUUUGUACACACCGCCCGUCGCUACUAC